rnacentral:lncRNA from 1 species
AAAACUAAAUGGCUGCACAUAUGAUGACCUUCUUUGUUUGUGUCUGUUUAGGUUUUACGUGAAAGGAAGUUGAAUUUAAUUCAUAUGAAGUUAUUAUGAAAAGGUAUAUUUUUUCCAGUUCAUCAGUGUUCCUUCGCCGUCCUUAGCUUUCUGCACAAUAAUGGGUUACAAUCCAAUAUAUUGUUGGAGAUGUCAUUCCAAGAGUUAAUUUUCCAUUUGGAUCUUCAAUGUAGUUUUUAACACUAUCAAAAACCAAAACAUCGUUCUUUAAAUGAAAGACUCGAGAGUUUUCACCAACUAUGCUUCUAUAGAUGAAAUAAAAGCAAUUGCAAAUCUUACGAAGAAAAUUUGUAAAUGCUCAAAUCACAGCACCGUAAUUUCUUAAUCUAGAUUUUCAUUUCCCAUCAAUAUGUUAUAUAUUUCUACAAAGAAAAUAUUAAUUUCCACAAACUAGGCACUUACAUGUAUCCCACACAGAACACCAAUUAAAAGAAACCGAUAAAAGUGAAACAAAAUAAGGGGAAAAAAACUCACGGAAGAGGAGGAGGCCGGCGAGGGCACCGGUGAAGGAAGAAUAAACGAAUCGGCGGACGCCCAAAUCGAGACAGGCAUCCCACUUGGCAUUCAAAUCGUACCGUGGUGGAACCUUCGCUUUGUUUUCCUCGGCCAUUCUUUCACUUUUUUCGCUCUCUAGCUAUUUUCCUCUUCGUCUUUGUUUGAUUAUCUGAUUUUGGCUUUUGAAUUUUG